rnacentral:piRNA from 1 species
GAACCUGAGGUAGCUGAUAUGUGG